rnacentral:rRNA from 1 species
GACGAACGCUGGCGGCGUGCUUAACACAUGCAAGUCGAACGGAAAGGCCCCUUUGGGGGUACUCGAGUGGCGAACGGGUGCGUAACACGUGAGUAACCUGCCCUUGACUUCGGGAUAACUUCAGGAAACUGGGGCUAAUACCGGAUAGGAAUCCUUGCUGCAUGGUGGGGGUUGGAAGGCUUCGGCGGUUUUGGAUGGACUCGCGGCUUAUCAGCUUGUUGGUGGGGUAGUGGCUUACCAAGGCUUUGACGGGUAGCCGGCCUGAGAGGGCGACCGGCCACAUUGGGACUGAGAUACGGCCCAGACUCCUACGGGAGGCAGCAGUGGGGAAUAUUGCACAAUGGGCGGAAGCCUGAUGCAGCAACGCCGCGUGCGGGAUGACGGCCUUCGGGUUGUAAACCGCUUUCAGCAGGGGCGAAGCUUUUGUGACGGUACCUGCAGAAGAAGCACCGGCUAACUACGUG